rnacentral:rRNA from 1 species
GAUGAACGCUGGCGGCGUGCCUAAUACAUGCAAGUCGAGCGAACGGACGAGAAGCUUGCUUCUCUGAUGUUAGCGGCGGACGGGUGAGUAACACGUGGAUAACCUACCUAUAAGACUGGGAUAACUUCGGGAAACCGGAGCUAAUACCGGAUAAUAUUUUGAACCGCAUGGUUCAAAAGUGAAAGACGGUCUUGCUGUCACUUAUAGAUGGAUCCGCGCUGCAUUAGCUAGUUGGUAAGGUAACGGCUUACCAAGGCAACGAUGCAUAGCCGACCUGAGAGGGUGAUCGGCCACACUGGAACUGAGACACGGUCCAGACUCCUACCGGAGGCAGCAGUAGGGAAUCUUCCGCAAUGGGCGAAAGCCUGACGGAGCAACGCCGCGUGAGUGAUGAAGGUCUUCGGAUCGUAAAACUCUGUUAUUAGGGAAGAACAUAUGUGUAAGUAACUGUGCACAUCUUGACGGUACCUAAUCAGAAAGCCACGGCUAACUACGUG